rnacentral:rRNA from 1 species
GUGCCAGCCGCCGCGGUAAUACGUAGGGGGCUAGCGUUGUCCGGAUUUAUUGGGCGUAAAGAGCGUGUAGGCGGCCAGAUAGGUCUGCUGUGAAAACUCGAGGCUCAACCUCGAGCUGUCGGCGGAAACCAUCCGGCUAGAGUCCGGAAGAGGAGAGUGGAAUUCCCGGUGUAGCGGUGAAAUGCGCAGAUAUCGGGAAGAACACCUGUGGCGAAGGCGGCUCUCUGGGACGGUACUGACGCUGAGACGCGAAAGCGUGGGGAGCAAACAGGAUUAGAAACCCUGGUAGUCC